GAUCUGGCUCAGGAUGAACGCUGGCGGCGUGCCUAACACAUGCAAGUCGAGCGGAGAUAAGCACCGGAUGAAGAUCUAUCUGAUCCACCGCUUAUCUUAGCGGCGGAUGGGUGAGUAACGCGUGGACAACCUGCCCCCUUGCAGGGGGAUAACAACCGGAAACGGGUGCUAAUACCGCAUAGGCGCGGAGGGCCGCAUGGUCCUCAGCGUAAAGAUUGUAUCGGCAAGGGAUGGAUCCGCGUCGGAUUAACUUGUUGGCGGGGUAACGGCCCACCAAGGUGAUGACCCGUAGCCGGCCUGAGAGGGCGACCGGCCACAUUGGGACUGAGACACGGCCCAAACUCCUACGGGAGGCAGCAGUGGGGGAUAUUGCACAAUGGGCGCAAGCCUGAUGCAGCCGACGCCGCGUGAGCGAAGAAGUGCUUCGGCAUGUAAAGCUCUAUCGGUGGGGAAGAAGAUGACGGUACCCACAGAAGAAGCCCCGGCUAACUACGUGCCAGCCGCAGC
rnacentral:rRNA from 1 species